UGCCCUUACAGAAGCAUCAUUGAUAGAUACAAAUGGUCUGUAACUGCUUGACUUGAUAGGAAACAGGCCAAUGAAAUCUCUACACACAUACGCUACACCCUCACGCUUGCAUCUUUUUUUAUUUAAAGUUGUUCUAUUCCCCUCCCACUGCACAGUAGUAAUACGAUCAUCCGUGUAAUUUGUUAUAUUGGAGAGUCAGUAACAAAUGCAAGUUUGUUUUUCCAAAAUUAGUGAGAAUUUGAUGGAGACACUUAAGGUUCAUAUUUCACAGUACUGAUCUUUAUAACGAUUUGGUUGUCUCACACCAAGAGUUAUACUCAACCACGCUAUAUUACUUAUGUUAUAGUUUGGUUAUACUCAAUCACUUAUUGAGAAUAACUGAAGAGAAUACUCAAGUAGAAAUGGUGCCUCCUUUGCACGCAGUAAUUGUGGCCUGCCCUGCACAAGGCCACUUCAAUCCAAUAAUGAAUCUUGCAGAGCUGCUGGCCAUGCGAGGAUUUUUCAUAACCUUUGUUACUACUGAAUGGAUGGAUCAGCGGCUUCUAAAAGCAGCUUCCAAAGAUGCAGCUGCACGUGACCGUGAGAUUCAAGAAAGGGGCUUCAAAUUUCGGUUUUUAGCUAUCCCAGACGGCUUACCGCCGGAGCAUGGCCGAACUUCUGAGAUUGGUGAGCUUUGGCUUGCGAUGCAAAGUUCGGGACCUGCUUUGGAAAGUGUGUUGACUGUAACAGAUAAAUCUGUACCGCCAAUCACAUGCAUUGUUUCAGAUAGCUAUUUAUCCUGCACAGCAGAGGUGGCUAAAAAUCUUGGGGUGCCCAGAGUUAUCUUCUGGACUAAUUGUACUGCAUACGCCACUAUUCAGAAAAACGCUAACUUUCUCUGGGCCAUAUCCCUGUCAAAGAAGAGGAUUUAAAGUCUAAAGAUAAACUCAUCACAUGCCUUCCCGGAAAAAUCCCACCUAUCAGGCCUACUGACAUCGUCUCCUUCCUCCGGGAAAAACACAUCUCUGAAAUAGUUUUCAGUGCCGCUCUCGACGAAUCUCGCUUCCAAAACAUAGGAGACUACGUGCUAGUCAAUACUUUCGAGGAGUUGGAAGGAGGUAAAGAUGCACAAAUGUGUCUCAGCGUUAAUGGAUGCCCUGCUCUAGCAAUAGGCCCUCUGUUUCUUCCAAAUUUCUUACAAGGUAAGAAUUCCGUGUAUAGUAUGUGGGAAGAGGAUAGAACGUGCUUUCAAUGGCUAGACGGUCAAGCGCAGGGAUCUGUGUUAUAUGUUUCCUUUGGUAGCAUUGCUAUAAAAUCUGAAAAGCAAUUGCAUGAACUGGCUCUUGGCCUAGAGGCUUGUGGGUACCCGUUCCUGUGGGUGGUAAGAUCAGAUAUAGCAGAAGGAAAGUCCCUUGAUUUACCAGAAGGCUUCAAGGAUCGAACCAAGGAUCGGGCUCUGAUCGUUAGUUGGACGAAUCAGUUGAAGGUGCUUUCUCAUCCAUCAAUUGGAGGAUUCCUUACACAUAGUGGGUGGAAUUCUUCUUUGGAGGCGAUUAGCAUGGGAAUCCCGAUGAUUGGAUGGCCUUAUUUUGGCGAUCAAUUUCUUAAUUGUCGGUUUGUAAAAGAUGUUUGGAAUGUUGGAUUGGACUUUGAGGGUGUUGAUGUAGAUGAAUUUAAAUUAGUGACAAAAGACAUUGUUGAGAGUACAAUUAGAAGUAUAAUGGAAGGUUCUAUUAGAAUGAAACUAUGUGAAAAUGUUGUGAGGCUAAAGAAGGCAGCACACAAGACAGUGAUGGAAGGAGGGACUUCUUAUACAAACUUGAACACUUUUGUAGAGGAUAUGCAAAAGAUAGCAAAAUCAAGGGUCUAAGGAGUUCCCAAGUUUACAAGAUUUUAUCUAGUGAAAUGAAUGAAUUUUAAGAUUUUAAUCAAUUCAAUAUAAGAAAUCAUAUACUAUUAGUAAUGUCAAGGAACCUUUAGAAUGAUAUCAAUGUAAAUUUUAUAUUCUUUUUGUACUAGCAUAUUGCUAUAGGAAAAUUCAGUGCUUUUAUCUUUC